CAGUCGAACGGAGAUACGCGCUGAAUGACGAAGCUUGCUUUUGAAUUCUUGUGUAUCUUAGUGGCGGACGGGUGAGUAACGCGUGAGCAACCUGCCUUUCAGAGGGGGAUAACGUUUGGAAACGAACGCUAAUACCGCAUGAGACUACAGUACUACAUGGUACAGUGGCCAAAGGAGCAAUCCGCUGAAAGAUGGGCUCGCGUCCGAUUAGAUAGUUGGCGGGGUAACGGCCCACCAAGUCGACGAUCGGUAGCCGGACUGAGAGGUUGAACGGCCACAUUGGGACUGAGGCACGGCCCAGACUCCUACGGGAGGCAGCAGUGAGGGAUAUUGGUCAAUGGGGGAAACCCUGAACCAGCAACGCCGCGUGAGGGAAGACGGUUUUCGGAUUGUAAACCUCUGUCCUCUGUGAAGAUAAUGACGGUAGCAGAGGAGGAAGCUCCGGCUAACUACGUGCCAGCAGCCGCGGUAAUACGUAGGGAGCAAGCGUUGUCCGGAUUUACUGGGUGUAAAGGGUGCGUAGGCGGCCUUGCAAGUCAGAAGUGAAAUCCAUGGGCUUAACCCGUGAACUGCUUUUGAAACUGUAGGGCUUGAGUGAAGUAGAGGCAGGCGGAAUUCCCGGUGUAGCGGUGAAAUGCGUAGAGAUCGGGAGGAACACCAGUGGCGAAGGCGGCCCGCUGGGCUUUAACUGACGCUGAAGCACGAAAGCGUGGGUAGCAAACAGGAUUAGAUACCCUGGUAGUCCACGCCGUAAACGAUGAUUACUAGGUGUGGGGGGUCUGA
rnacentral:rRNA from 1 species